rnacentral:lncRNA from 1 species
AGAGUCCGAGCGCACAGCGGGCUCCGCACAGACUUUAUUGGGCGCGCUCAGCACGGACACGCGCUUUUACCGUGGGCGUCGCGCGACUGCUCCAGCUUCUGCGCCCGGCCCGGCCGCUUCUCCACAUCGCGAUAGAGCAGCGAUUUCUGCGCCUUCAGCCGGCAGGCCAGGCACAUGAAGAUGGACUCCACGUUCUGGCUCUCCUUAGGGUCCUUGGCUGAGGUUUCGAACAACAGCAUGUUGUGGGCGUCGGCGAAUUUGAGGGCCAUGCUGGACGGCACUUGGAUCAGGUCCUUCAAGUCACACUUGUUCCCUACCAGCACUUUGGGGACGAGGGGGGACACGGCGUGCCCGUUGCACUCCUCGAUCCACAUCUUGAGGUUGGUGAAGGACGUCAUCUUGGUGACGUCGUACACGAAGACGACGGCGUGCACGUUGCGGUAGUAGUGCUCCACCAUGCUCUUCCGGAACCGCUCCUGCCCGGCCGUGUCCCACACCUGCACCUUGAUGCGCUCCCCCUCGAUCUCC